AUACGUAGGGGGCGAGCGUUGUCCGGAAUGAUUGGGCGUAAAGGGCGCGUAGGCGGCCCGGUAAGUCUGGAGUGAAAGUCCUGUUUUUAAGAUGGGAAUUGCUUUGGAUACUGUCGGGCUUGAGUGCAGGAGAGGUAAGUGGAAUUCCCCGUGUAGCGGUGAAAUGCGUAGAGAUUGGGAGGAACACCAGUGGCGAAGGCGACUUACUGGACUGUAACUGACGCUGAGGCGCGAAAGUGUGGGGAGCAAACAGGAUUAGAUACCCUGGUAGUCCACACUGUAAACGAUGAAUGCUAGGUGUAGGGGGUAUCGACCCCUUCUGUGCCGCAGUCAACACAAUAAGCAUUCCGCCUGGGGAGUACGGCCGCAAGGUUGAAACUCAAAUGAAUUGACGGGG
rnacentral:rRNA from 1 species